rnacentral:rRNA from 1 species
CCUACGGGGGACAGCAGUGAGGAAUAUUGGUCAAUGGACGAGAGUCUGAACCAGCCAAGUAGCGUGAAGGAUGACUGCCCUAUGGGUUGUAAACUUCUUUUAUAUGGGAAUAAAACGUUCCACGUGUGGGAUUUUGUAUGUACCAUAUGAAUAAGGAUCGGCUAACUCCGUGCCAGCAGCCGCGGUAAUUCGGAGGAUCCGAGCGUUAUCCGGAUUUAUUGGGUUUAAAGGGAGCGUAGGUGGAUUGUUAAGUCAGUUGUGAAAGUUUGCGGCUCAACCGUAAAAUUGCAGUUGAAACUGGCAGUCUUGAGUACAGUAGAGGUGGGCGGAAUUCGUGGUGUAGCGGUGAAAUGCUUAGAUAUCACGAAGAACUCCGAUUGCGAAGGCAGUUCACUGGACUGCAACUGACACUGAGGCUCGAAAGUGUGGGUAUCAAACAGGAUUAGAUACCCCUGUAGUC